rnacentral:lncRNA from 1 species
GUUCAAGCAGUUUGAGUCAACUAGGCAUUUAAAGGCAUUGUGUUUAUUGUGGUAACAACUAUACAUGCUUAUCAGGGAUGAGUCUGACAGUGUUUUCUUACAGUAGAAGCAACUUUAUUUUUUCCUCUUCGCCUGAUAUCACGGAUGAGAGACACUUGUAAGUCUGUCAGGUAGUAUCUGCUUAACAUGCUGUUGAAAGAGUCAACAGGCAUACGGACAAUUUCAUCUACAGAAAAGGGAAUGUGCAGAGCUUUAGCACGCUGUUCAUCACGGCUCAAGUUUCUAUCUGGGUUAUCAAGGCAUCCACUGGUUUUCUGCGACUUCUCAGACCAUGCAAAAGAUUCAGAUGUGGGCUCUGAUGCACCUGACUGUAAAUGGUAAGUGUGGUCAUGAAAUACUUGCUGACAUUCAAGGGACACAUGAAAGCCAGCUAUAGUCCUAUGGUCCAUAUGACAAUGUUUAUGGGGUUCUGGGUAGCAGCCUCCUACAGCACCUAAAUCAUGACAAAGAGACUGUAGGUCGCUAUUGUAACCUACAGUCCCAUCAUAAAUACGGUAAGAAUUUGUGAGAGAGGUGCUGUUGUAACUUGAAUUUAAUGAGAGCCCGGAAUCUGGUUCUUCAAAAAGUUGAGAAACUUCCAAUGGACUGAAACCUGUGGCCAAUGACAUUAGGUUUAUUCCAUCAAAUAUAUUUGAAUCCAGGUCAUACAGGAGAUCUUGGCUUGUUAGGUUCCUCAUUUGAUUGUCAAACGGUGGAAGAGACAUUGCAGGAGUGGCUUGCUCAGGAUUUGUAUGAGGAUUUAACUGCAGAAAUGGUUCUUGUGCCUGUGAAGACCUUGCUGAUGGAUCUCUUCUAAAUGUGUUGUUGGGGUACAACAGCAUGGCUUCAUGAAGAUUGACAUCAUGGCUUAUAGCUUGGCUCAAAUUUAUGUUCUGUGCUGAGGAAUUAACACUUUCACAGACACUGCUCA